rnacentral:misc_RNA from 1 species
AACGCACAUUGCGCCCUUUGGUAUUCCGAAGGGCAUGCCUGUUCGAGCGUCAUUAUCACCCCUCGAGCCCUGUGCUUGGUGUUGGACGGCCGGUCGAGCGAUCGACCCCUCCUAAAGACAAUGACGGCGGCCUGUGGUUCCCCCGGUACACUGAGCUUUUAACUGAGCGCGUAUCGGACAAGGGCGCCCGGGACCCGGUCCUCUCCUUUAACUAGGACACUUUUUUUUUAAGGUUGACCUCGGAUCAGGUAGGAAUACGCGCUGAACUUAA